UGGGGAAUUUUGGACAAUGGGCGCAAGCCUGAUCCGGCCAUGCCGCGUGCGGGAAGAAGGCCUUCGGGUUGUAAACCGCUUUUGUCAGGGAAGAAAUCUUCUGAGUUAAUACCUCGGGAGGAUGACGGUACCUGAAGAAUAAGCACCGGCUAACUACGUGCCAGCAGCCGCGGUAAUACGUAGGGUGCAAGCGUUAAUCGGAAUUACUGGGCGUAAAGCGUGCGCAGGCGGUUUUGUAAGACAGAGGUGAAAUCCCCGGGCUCAACCUGGGAACUGCCUUUGUGACUGCAAGGCUUGAGUGCGGCAGAGGGGGAUGGAAUUCCGCGUGUAGCAGUGAAAUGCGUAGAUAUGCGGAGGAACACCGAUGGCGAAGGCAAUCCCCUGGGCCUGCACUGACGCUCAUGCACGAAAGCGUGGGGAGCAAACAGGAUUAGAUACCCUGGUAGUCCACGCCCUAAACGAUGUCAACUGGUUGUUGGGAAGGUUCCUUCUCAGUAACGUAGCUAACGCGUGAAGUUG
rnacentral:rRNA from 1 species